UGAGUACGAGAUGCUACGGCAUCGAAGCAGUCUAUGUCAUACUUCCAAGAAAAGCUCGCACUGUCAAAAACAAAUGAAUGCCUGUACCAUAACCGACACAGGUGGGUAGGUAGAGUAUACUAAGGGGCGCGAGAUAACUCUCUCUAAGGAACUCGGCAAAAUGACUCCGUAACUUCGGGAGAAGGAGUGCCUUAUUUAUAAGGUUGCAAUAACCAGCUCCAAGCAACUGUUUAUCAAAAACACAGGUCUCCGCUAAGUCGUAAGACGAUGUAUGGGGGCUGACGCCUGCCCAGUGCCAGAAGGUUAAAGAAGUUGGUUAGCGCAAGCGAAGCUGAUAACUGAAGCCCUGGUGAACGGCGGCCGUAACUAUAACGGUCCUAAGGUAGCGAAAUUCCUUGUCGGGUAAGUUCCGACCCGCACGAAAGGCGUAAUGAUUUGGAGGCUGUCUCGGAGAGGGACUCGGUGAAAUAGACUUGUCUGUGAAGAUGCGGACUACCUGCACCAGGACAGAAAGACCCUAUGAAGCUUUACUGUAACUUGAGAUUGAAAUUGGACUUUAUUCGCGCAGUAUAGGUGGGAGGCAUUGAAAAUAUUCUUGCGGGAAUAUUGGAGCCAUCAGUGAGAUACCACUCUUGUAAUGUUAGAUUUCUAACUUUGUAUCAUUAUCUGGUCAAAGAACAGUUUCAGGCGGGCAGUUUGACUGGGGCGGUCGCCUCCUAAAUGGUAACGGAGGCGCACAAAGGUUUCCUCUGAACGGGUAGAAAUCGUAUCUAGAGUGUAAAGGCAUAAGGAAGCUUGACUGUGAGACCUACAAGUCGAGCAGGGACGAAAGUCGGUCUUAGUGAUCUGACGGUGCUGAGUGGAAAGGCCGUCACUCAACGGAUAAAAGUUACUCUAGGAUAACAGGCUGAUCUCCCCCAAGAGUUCACAUCGACGGGGAGGUUUGGCACCUCGAUGUCGGCUCAUCGCAUCCUGGGGCGGUAGUACGUCCCAAGGGUUGGGCUGUUCGCCCAUGAAAGCGGUACGCGAGCUGGGUUCAGAACGUCGUGAGACAGUUCGGUCCAUAUCCGGUGUAGGCGUUAGAAUAUUGAGAGGAGCCUUCUUUAGUACGAGAGGACCGAGAAGGACAUACCUCUGGUGUACCAGUUAUCGUGCCAACGGUAAACGCUGGGUAGCCAUGUAUGGAGUGGAUAACCGCUGAAAGCAUCUAAGUGGGAAGCCCACCUCAAGAUAAGUAUUCCC
rnacentral:rRNA from 1 species